rnacentral:rRNA from 1 species
GUAGGGAAUAUUGCGCAAUGGACGCAAGUCUGACGCAGCAACGCCGCGUGAGUGAAGAAGGCCUUAGGGUUGUAAAGCUCUGUCAUACGGGACGAACAACCAGCAGGUGAAUAGCCUGUUGGUCUGACGGUACCGUAGAAGGAAGCACCGGCUAACUCUGUGCCAGCAGCCGCGGUAAUACAGAGGGUGCAAGCGUUGCUCGGAAUUAUUGGGCGUAAAGGGUAGGUAGGUUGUCUCAUUUGUCCGGUGUGAAAUCCUUGGGCUUAACCCAAGAAGUGCAUCGGAAACGGUGGGACUGGAGUCUCGGAGAGGGUCGUGGAAUUCCCGGUGUAGCGGUGAAAUGCGUAGAGAUCGGGAGGAACACCAGUGGCGAAGGCGGCGACCUGGACGAGUACUGACACUCAACUACGAAAGCGUGGGGAGCAAACAGGAUUAGAAACCCGUGUAGUCC